rnacentral:rRNA from 1 species
GGACGGUGCAAGCGUUAUCCGGAUUCACUGGGUUUAAAGGGUGCGUAGGAGGGCAGGUAAGUCAGUGGUGAAAUCCCCGAGCUUAACUUGGGAACUGCCGUUGAUACUAUCUGUCUUGAAUACCGUGGAGGUGAGCGGAAUAUGUCAUGUAGCGGUGAAAUGCUUAGAUAUGACAUAGAACACCAAUUGCGAAGGCAGCUCGCUACACGAAUAUUGACUCUGAGGCACGAAAGCGUGGGGAUCAAACAGGAUUAGAUACCCUGGUAGUCCACGCCCUAAACGAUGGAUACUCGACAUACGCGAUACACAGUGUGUGUCUGAGCGAAAGCAUUAAGUAUCCCACCUGGGAAGUACGACCGCAAGGUUG